AGAGCUGAUAUUUUUCCUUUUCUACAUCAAUCCUAACGCCCUCUGCUCUCUCCUCCAUUGCUAACCAUCAAGUACCUCCGUCUGUUCUCUCCUCUUCUUCUCUUCUUCCGAACUCUGUGCUUUCGUCGAUUACAUAGUUCUGUCUAGAUUGCCAAUGCUCUCAAUUGAAAAUAAAAAUAAAUAGCAUGAAAUUAACAGAGAAACACAAGAUGAGAAAAACAAAACCCAUCAGAAAACAAUGGUCCAAACGAAAAAAUCCCUCAGUUUAAAGAAAGUGUGGCACAAUUUUCUCAAGAGAAUAUUGUCCCGCAUGCUGAAAAAUAGAUAGAACAAAUUAUUUCGCUCUGGUAUGUGUAUAUUUGCUCUUGUUUUCUGAAGUGUUCUAUGUACAAAAAAUGGUAUUUAAGCUUUGUUCUUCUACUUAAUUUUUUUAUACAAAAAAAUUUGAAAGUACAUGUGUUUUUGUCCUUUUGUACAUCUGAUAUUAGCUACAUGUAACAUGCUUCGUGCUUCUGCUCUCAAUCAAACUCCACUGUGGAGGUUUUUCCCCCAUUUGAGCAGGCUUAAACCUUUUGUGUUUUGUGCUUUACCAUAUAUGGCUUUUGGGUAAAAUAAAUAAGUGAGUUUUUCCCCAUAUAAAAACUCAACUUCUACUUUGUUCUGGCUAUUUAAAGCUGAGGGAGAUGAGAAGAAUAGACAAAUUGAUUUUGUUGUUAACAGAGACAUCAUUUAGUACUUCAUAUUAUUGGCUUUAUACACUUCUAUCAUCAGUUGUGUGUUUACAAUGGAACAACAUAUUCUCAAUCGAAUGAUGAGACUUGUUUCCAAUUAAAGAACAAACCAGAUGGUCCGUCAUCAGGUUUCAAAGAAAGCCCUAUAGACCCCUCCUCGAAUUUUUCAAUAAGCAGUACCCCGCGAUUGUAAUCUACAUUUGUUUUCACAAAAUGAGGUGGACCAGCCAUCAAAUUUUAACACUACUCUGGAGCUAUCUUAUCAAGAAUGAAAUAAAUUGUUUUAAUUACCCACACAUUUAUUCGUUCCGAAGUUUAGCAUGAGUAACAUCACGCCUCUGUUCACCAACAUAUCCAUCUCUAUGUAAAGCAGUGAAGAGGACUUAGUUUCAUUUUGUAGGUAUAUUAGAAAGUUAUGCAAUGAAUAAUGCUUAUCAUUACAUUUUUGUUUUUGUUUUAGCAUUUAAUUUGUUGAUUCUUGUACCCCUUUGAGUUUUAUGAUGAAUUCUUCGGUGAAUUAGGAUUUCUACUAUGUUCUUUAUGCAUUUUCAGCCUUUUCCAUUCUACAAUUGAUCGUCAAAUUUCUUGAGCAAAUCAUAACAAAAUGCCCCAUCUUCUAGGACAAAGGUUACUACUCUUCUCUGCUUUCCUUUCUUUAUUUGUUAUGUUAGCGGAAACCUUAAUCCCUUACAGUUCAUUUCGGAUAUGUGAGUCACUGCACUAACGGUUAGGAACUGAUCCUCAUAUGAUGUAAGUAGAGUAUCAAAGGAAAUAAUUUGGACAUAUACUUUAGAAAUAGCCACAGCCAAAGGACUCCUAGAGGUAGGACUUUUAUUCUCAUCUUUUUGUUAGUGUGUAUAUUGUAUCAUGAAUUCAAAAGAUAUUAAAUCAUGCAUAUACUUUCAUCAACUUAUCCCACAUUUACAUUUUCUUCCAUCAUCAUGUUGUUGCCUUUUGAACAAUAGCAGCUACUUAGAUAAUAAUGACAAACUCUUUGUGCCUUUUUCCCCAUAUGAUGUGGUGCAAUUUUUUUGGAAACUUAGCAAGACUGCUAAAAAAAUUGUUCAAGAAAUUUGGCACAUUUUAAGUGAAUUCCUCAGUAGUGAGAUGCCGUUCACAUUAGUUGGCAAGUUUCAUUUGUCGUGAAAAUAUUUUUACGUGUUUAAAAUUUUCAUGAAACAACUAAAGAAACACUAUUGGAUUCACAUCUUCACAGGCUUACAGUUAACCAAAUGCAAGACCAAAUAUACAGAGGUGGAGAUAGCUAUCUUAUCUCAAACUAUCUUAGCCACCAGCAAUUGCUACUAUGCCUUUGGGAAUUGGAAACAACCUUCCAUUCUCUUUUGGCUGGGUAAGGGUCCUUGGCUAAACAGCGCAACUCGCCAAUAUGUGCUCGAUAUAUUCUUCUGACAAUAAUUGUUGCAAAUAUAGUUGUGUGGCAACUGUUGAAAUACUUGCUGCUAUUUCAUUCAGUGAUUAUUAUUGUUAGUUUAGCUUAUGCCAUGAAAUUUUGUAGACAAAUCUACAUUUUCACUUUAGGUUAGAUGCUGCAUUUCAACUUUA